rnacentral:rRNA from 1 species
GACGAACGCUGGCGGCGUGCCUAAUACAUGCAAGUUGAGCGAUGAAGAUUGGUGCUUGCACCAAUUUGAAGAGCAGCGAACGGGUGAGUAACGCGUGGGGAAUCUGCCUUUGAGCGGGGGACAACAUUUGGAAACGAAUGCUAAUACCGCAUAACAACUUUAAACAUAAGUUUUAAGUUUGAAAGAUGCAAUUGCAUCACUCAAAGAUGAUCCCGCGUUGUAUUAGCUAGUUGGUGAGGUAAAGGCUCACCAAGGCGAUGAUACAUAGCCGACCUGAGAGGGUGAUCGGCCACAUUGGGACUGAGACACGGCCCAAACUCCUACGGGAGGCAGCAGUAGGGAAUCUUCGGCAAUGGACGAAAGUCUGACCGAGCAACGCCGCGUGAGUGAAGAAGGUUUUCGGAUCGUAAAACUCUGUUGGUAGAGAAGAACGUUGGUGAGAGUGGAAAGCUCAUCAAGUGACGGUAUCUACCCAGAAAGGGACGGCUAACUACGUG